rnacentral:ncRNA from 1 species
GCCCGCGGUCACUCCACCCUAUGGCUGUGGGUACGAAAAGAAAGAGAGGGUUUUUACCGCAGCGGCUUGCGGUGCGGCAGUGUGGAGACCUGCCGUAAUGCUUGCUCGGUUAUGCCGGGAAGCGAGGCGUUUUGCGCGGAGGCGCGUUCGCCAGAGCCGGGAACUAUGGC